GCGGAGGGAUCAUUACUGAGUGAGGGCUUUGGGGCUCGACCUCACACCCUUUGUGAACACAACUUGUUGCUUCGGGGGCGACCCUGCCGUUUCGACGGCGAGCGCCCCCGGAGACCAUCAAACACUGCAUCUUUGCGUCGGAGUUUAAGUAAAUUAAACAAAACUUUCAACAACGGAUCUCUUGGUUCUGGCAUCGAUGAAGAACGCAGCGAAAUGCGAUAAGUAAUGUGAAUUGCAGAAUUCAGUGAAUCAUCGAAUCUUUGAACGCACAUUGCGCCCUUUGGUAUUCCGAAGGGCAUGCCUGUUCGAGCGUCAUUUCACCACUCAAGCCUGGCUUGGUAUUGGGCGCCGCGGUCAAUCCGCGCGCCUCAAAGUCUCCGGCUGAGCUGUCCGUCUCUAAGCGUUGUGAUUUCAUUAAUCGCUUCGGAGUGCGGGCGGCCGCGGCCGUUAAAUCUUUCACAAGGUUGACCUCGGAUCAGGUAGGGAUACCCGCUG
rnacentral:rRNA from 1 species